ACUGUAGUACUGUUCUUCUUGCUUUUAGUCCCUUCUAUCGUACGCCAAGUGUGUGUUUUAGUUCGUUAUCGUACGCCCUUUGUUGACAGUAGACUCAGAAAGAGCACCUCACCACCUGUUUGAUGCUGUACUUGCCGUAUCUG